AGACGGUGAAACUCCGUGCAUUCGUCCACGUGCAUCACCCCAUUGCUGGGUAGGGGGCCCUGUGUGUGGGGGGGGGGGGUAAGUAUUACUUGUAUAUUGCAAUGUGUUAGACACCGUAAGUCUACGUGGUCUUUCUUAAUAUUCUAUGGUUGGUGGCCCUGCUU